ACGGGAGGCAGCAGUGAGGAAUAUUGGUCAAUGGGCGAAAGCCUGAACCAGCCAAGUCGCGUGAAGGAUGAAGGUAUUAUGUAUUGUAAACUUCUUUAGCAGCAGAGUAAUAAGGGGGUCGUGACCCCCGAUGCAAGUAUGCUGAAAAUAAGGAUCGGCUAACUCCGUGCCAGCAGCCGCGGUAAUACGGAGGAUCCGAGCGUUAUCCGGAUUUAUUGGGUUUAAAGGGUGCGCAGGCGGUUUUUUAAGUCAGUGGUUAAAUCGUGAGGCUCAACCUCAUCACGCCAUUGAUACUGGAAGACUUGAUUGCGGUUGAGGUAGGCGGAAUUCGUCGUGUAGCGGUGAAAUGCAUAGAUAUGACGAAGAACACCGAUUGCGUAGGCAGCUUACCAAGCCGUAAAUGACGCUCAUGCACGAAAGUGCGGGGAUCGAACAGGAUUAGAUACCCUGGUA
rnacentral:rRNA from 1 species